ACGGAAGGCAGCAGUGAGGAAUAUUGGUCAAUGGGCGCGAGCCUGAACCAGCCAAGUAGCGUGCAGGAUGACGGCCCUCCGGGUUGUAAACUGCUUUUAGUUGGGAAUAAAAGAGCGUACGUGUACGCUGUAUUGUAUGUACCAUCAGAAAAAGGACCGGCUAAUUCCGUGCCAGCAGCCGCGGUAAUACGGAAGGUCCGGGCGUUAUCCGGAUUUAUUGGGUUUAAAGGGAGCGUAGGCCGUGCUUUAAGCGUGUUGUGAAAUGUAGGCGCCCAACGUCUGCACUGCAGCGCGAACUGGAGCACUUGAGUACGCAGGAAGUAGGCGGAAUUCGUCGUGUAGCGGUGAAAUGCUUAGAUAUGACGAAGAACUCCGAUUGGGAAGCCAGCUUACUGUAGCGCCACUGACGCUGAUGCUCGAAAGCGUGGGUAUCGAACAGGAUUAGAUACCCUGGUA
rnacentral:rRNA from 1 species